rnacentral:rRNA from 1 species
UAGGGAAUCUUCGGCAAUGGACGAAAGUCUGACCGAGCAACGCCGCGUGAGUGAAGAAGGUUUUCGGAUCGUAAAACUCUGUUGUUAGAGAAGAACAAGGACGUUAGUAACUGAACGUCCCCUGACGGUAUCUAACCAGAAAGCCACGGCUAACUACGUGCCAGCAGCCGCGGUAAUACGUAGGUGGCAAGCGUUGUCCGGAUUUAUUGGGCGUAAAGCGAGCGCAGGCGGUUUCUUAAGUCUGAUGUGAAAGCCCCCGGCUCAACCGGGUAGGGUCAUUGGAAACUGGGAGACUUGAGUGCAGAAGAGGAGGGUGGAAUUCCAUGUGUAGCGGUGAAAUGCGUAGAUAUAUGGAGGAACACCAGUGGCGAAGGCGGCUCUCUGGUCUGUAACUGACGCUGAGGCUCGAAAGCGUGGGGAGCAAACAGG